UGUGGUUUCUUUGUACAGGUAGAUGAGUUAUUAGUACUAGAAUUUCAGAUCUAAAGUUGGGUGCAUAUGGUACAGAUUCUUAAUCUGAGAAGAAUUGUUCAGGUAUUCCGUGCAGGUCUGUGGUGAGGACACAAAUUUGGGCAUCUAGCUCCUUGCAUGAAUGUGCAAGGAAUUCAGAACCUGCAUCUUUUCUUCAAUAUAACAUGGUAUAUUUAUCUGUGAUCUCUCCUUGAUGUUGUGUUGCAUUUUUCUUGAUGGAAGUAAUUUUGGUUUAAUUUCACAUGAUGAUAAAGAAAUAAACACAUGACAUGCUGAAUAGCUGACAUACAGAGGAAAUGCUAUAGCUUGAUGAUUAUUGCAGUACUACAUUAUUUUCAGGUAUGAAUCAUUUUUUAUUUUUUGAACAAGGUUGCUCUCUCCUAUAUAGAAGUAAAAUGACUCAUUUUUUAUUCUUUGAACAAGGUUGCCGAAAGUAGGGCGCUCAGCCAUUGAGGCAUUAUCACUUUUUUAAGAAGCUUUGCAAAAUCUGCUCUUAUACUAAAGAAAACUAAUGUAAGUUUGUUAGCCUUAUAGGGUACUAAUAUGCUGAACACAUGAUAUUAAAUAUAUAGUACAUUGCACUGUGAAGUGAGUAUGUAUAUACUAUCCGAACAGGAUUCUGUAUGUCAUACUUGACUUCAUCAUGCUUUGUUUUCAGAUGUAUUCUUUAGGCAUACACUAAUGUGGUAGCUUGGUCAUAUUCUGUAGCUAAUUUAGUUACCACAAUACUCAGGAUUUUUUUUCCCGGCUUUCAAUAUAUAAAUAACUUCCACUUGCCAUUUCACAUGAUAAGCACUACAUUCCAUUUAUUUAUGCCCUACAACUUAUUAUUUUGGAUAGGCACAACUGAAGUCUUGAGUUUUUGAGUAUCAUAGAAGAACCACAUUUCUUUUUGUAGCGAUAGAACAAAUUGAUCAACAUUCGACCUUUUUCAGCUAUUAUAGGAACACUAAGAUGCACAAAAUCAACCUGUGUUAGGGCCAAUGGUCCUUUCCAAAUGUGAAAUCUUGCAUGUGUUAUUUAUCAAUUCCAAAAGGUGAUGGUUGUGUUAUUACGUUAGAAAAGAGGUACUUGUACAAUUUUGCGACUGAUUUUGGCUAAGGGUUUUUCGGUUCUCAUCUCUAUAUGGAUAUACAUUUUUCAGGUUAGUGGUUUAGGGGUUCCUGCCAAGACUGGAUUUUGGAAUCUAUCCUCGCUUCACCAGUUGGGCUUAACAAGGACAUAAUUAAUUCUUUGUUGGUAAUUCGGAAAAAAAUCUGGUUGGAGAAAACUUCUCUUUUGGUUAAUUGUUUGUUUCCGAAUUUUAGUAAUCUUUUUUACAUUUUCAUUUUUCAGGUUAGUAGUACGGGACUUCCUGUCAAGAACAACUUUUGGAAGUUAAGCUAGCUUCAUCAGUUGGGAUUUCUGUAUAAAACUAAGAUAAUUUAUUUUGGUGCUUGCGAUGAGUAUU
rnacentral:lncRNA from 1 species